rnacentral:rRNA from 1 species
GACGUAGGGCGCGAGCGUUGUCCGGAUUUAUUGGGCGUAAAGAGCUCGUAGGCGGCUCGUUGCGUCAACCGUGAAAACCCGGGGCUUAACUUCGGGCUUGCGGUUGAUACGGGCGGGCUGGAGUUCGGUAGGGGAGACUGGAAUUCCUGGUGUAGCGGUGAAAUGCGCAGAUAUCAGGAGGAACACCGGUGGCGAAGGCGGGUCUCUGGGCCAUUACUGACGCUGAGGAGCGAAAGCGUGGGGAGCGAACAGG